rnacentral:lncRNA from 1 species
UUUUUGUUUCACUAUAAUUAUACUAAAAAUCUUUCAAACAAAGAAACUAGCACAUCUCAACCCAUCCACUUUCAUUAUUUUCUUACAUUCAAGUGGCUCCUGAUGGAAACCAUAAUCACAACUUAUAAUAUUUUACUCUACCACUGAUCCAUAAAUCUAGAAACCAUUUUUGACAACAAUAUCUUGUAAGUACUAGCAUCGUAUAUCAUUCCAACACUAUCAACAAGUCCAACACCAAUGUUUUAAUACUACAUUUUACACGUAGGCAAGAAAAAUAUUUUUCCCCCAGUGGAAACAAUCUUAUUAACAUAUUUGCUAGCUUCUUGGACCAGUUUCUGUCAUGGGAAUUGACUUACAUCAUUGCAUAUCAAUCAUCAUUGAAAUAAAUGAACUCCUAAAAUUCAAAAGUUCUCUUUCAAAGAGAUGAAACAACUAAGUACCAAAAAACAUUUUCUAGAUUGAAUACACUUUUUAGCAACUAAGGAAUAGACAAUUCCUUUGUUUAUGUAGAAAAAUAGUGACUUGUAAUCGUGUCAAAUAUUGAAAGCAAAAUAGGCUUAACAUAUUAUUUUGGUCACUAAGAUAUUAUAUACAACAUGAAAAACUUCUUGUUUCAACAAUAUGUAUAUGUUUCAAAAUUAACCUGUACCCAUAUGGGCAGCAAGAGAUAAAUAUUUGUACUUCAUCCAGUUGCUGACAAUUUCACUUCAGUUUUACCAAAAAUCAUUCUUAGAAAAGAACGAACACAUAUCACCCCAUUCACUUCCUUUAUUUUUUAAAACCUAAAAUAACACCAAGGGCCACAAACCCAUGAUGUACCAUGGAGACACAAGCACAUCAUUCAUCCUGAACCCAUCAUCUCCCUUCAAAUUCUACAAUUUUUUCAAGAAAUACACAUCCCUUGACUACCAAAGGCACAAAAUAAUGUGUUACACUUUUUUUAGAGUGAUCAAAUUGUGAGGAAGAAAAACGAAAAAGAACAUAUGGAGCAGGUAUAUUCAUUUACUCGAUCAAUUAUACCUCAAUGUGUACCAUAUAAAAUAACUGGUACCAUAGAACUAUGACUAGAAUUUGAAAUGGGUUUCUAGCCUUAGUACUCAUCAGGAUUUUCCAAAUUAAUGAAAUAAGCACAACAACAACAAUAACAAAACCAUAUCCCGUCAAAUUAAACAAACACAAAAGCAAAACAAAAGCACUUCUCUUUAGUAUGAAAUGGUUGCAGUCCAUGGUACCGGAGUCUGGUCAGGAGUGAGGUUGAAAACAUAGUAGAUGAGUCCAACCCACAACACGAAAAGCAGAGCUGAUGUUGUCCAGUCUCCUCCAUCCCCACCAUCUCCGUUCUCACUCUCCAAUUUAGCUCAAUUUUCAGCAGCUGGGUUUUCUGGAUUCUGAGUGUUGAAGGAGCUCUGACAGAUUUGAAGGCCACUCCUUUUCUAAAAUGUAGAAAUUGGGUGUUUGGGUUUACUAAGAAUUGGAGGGUUUGGUUUUGGGGUUCUGAUAAAUGAGAUUAUGGAGUUGGAGUUACAGGUUUUGAGAGAAACGAAUGGGAGAGCAGAGAAGUUGCAGGAGAUGAGGGUGGUGCUGGACAAAUUGGUAAGAAAAGUUGUUUGGGUCGGGUUUCUUUGUGCUUUGAGAAUGAAAGUUUUAAAUUGUUCUGCUGACAUGAGAGGAUUUGCUGAUGACAUGGAGAGAUUUAGGGGCAAUCUGGGAAGAGGAAAAAUAAACAGUAGAUAGUGCACGUUUUGGAUAUUACUUUACACAUUAAUAAUUAGAUCUCAUAUUUUGUAUAUUUAGGUUAUCAAAAUCAUAUAUUUUCCCCAUCAACAGCCCAAAACCUAACUUUCCCAUUUUACUAAUCUUCGGAAACCUAGGAGAAAAUUAUUCAAAAAUCAUAAAAAAAAAAACUACACUUUAUGAGACUAUUCAAAGGUGGUAUUUCAAAAAUUAGACUUCAACAAGUUUAAAGAAAAUGAUGUGGUUGAAAAUCUUAAAGAUUGAAUAAAUAAUGAACAAAGGAUUUUUAAAAAACAUUAAAAGUCUAGCAGCCAUCAUUAUUUAAAUGGUAUCUUGCAAUGUUAUUUGAUGGUGCAUGCUAAAUUGUACCUUACAUAGUUGACUAAACCAAUUCAACAAGCAUGUGUUUUUUUUUUUUCAACAGGGGAGAAAAGUUAGUGGGCUGGCCGUGCAUAGGAGAUGGCCACCUUGCCAUCGCCAACGGGACUCAAGGCCUAGGAAGUCUAACCGAACCUACAUGCGUCUCGGUGGAAAUGGUUGGAGGAGUACCACCCAUUGCCAAGGCAGCCAAGGGAGUUGCCACAACCGUCGGUGGAGCGGCAACCCAAACCGACGCCGAAAAAGUGAGUUACAGCCCUUUACACGGCUGAAGUGAACAUUUGGAGAAGAUUUCAGCUCUAGUUUUCAAUCGCUGCCACCAGAAAUGAAACCAUCUGGUUUGGGCACCGCAUGACUGGUUUGAAGAACAUAAACAAGCUGAAAAUUUCCCAGAACCUUGCUCUCUAUCUCUACCAUUACUUGUGAUCAGCAUGAUGAUCUAUAUUCCAAUAGAUUCAGCCUAGAAAUGGUAAAACAUGGUAACCUCAUAGUGGUUUCCAUGCAUCAAAUUGCUACAAACGCUCCCCAAACCCAUACUCUCUAACACCCUCAUCUCAUGAUCACCCAUAACCUCUUAGUGUUCCAUAUCUACAGUGCCCAACUUCCUAUAGCCAGACUUCAGAAAUAGGGAACAAACAACCAGAAGACAGAGCACGAAAUGAAAGGAAUGGAAUGAACCAAUCAUGACCAACAUUUCAUGUUAUAAUCAACGGGUUCAGAU